rnacentral:tRNA from 1 species
UUUCUCGUAGCCUAGUGGUCAGAGCACUGGUGAGUAAAGCCAAAGGUCCCGGGUUCGAUUCCCGACAAGGAUU